rnacentral:rRNA from 1 species
GAUGAACGCUGGCGGCGUGCCUAAUACAUGCAAGUCGAGCGAACAGACGAGGAGCUUGCUCCUCUGACGUUAGCGGCGGACGGGUGAGUAACACGUGGAUAACCUACCUAUAAGACUGGGAUAACUUCGGGAAACCGGAGCUAAUACCGGAUAAUAUAUUGAACCGCAUGGUUCAAUAGUGAAAGACGGUUUUGCUGUCACUUAUAGAUGGAUCCGCGCCGCAUUAGCUAGUUGGUAAGGUAACGGCUUACCAAGGCAACGAUGCGUAGCCGACCUGAGAGGGUGAUAGGCCACACUGGAGCUGAGACACGGUCCAGACGCCUACGGGAGGCAGCAGUAGGGAAUCUUCCGCAAUGGGCGAAAGCAUGACGGAGCAACGCCGCGUGAGUGAUGAAGGUCUUCGGAUCGUAAAAAUCUGUUAUUAGGGAAGAACAAAUGUGUAAGUAACUAUGCACGUCUUGACGGUACCUAAUCAGAAAGCCACGGCUAACUACGUG